CAAAAAUGCACAUAUUGUGAGCUCGAUGAGUAGGGCGGGACACGUGGUAUCCUGUCUGAAUAUGGGGGGACCAUCCUCCAAGGCUAAAUACUCCUGACUGACCGAUAGUGAACCAGUACCGUGAGGGAAAGGCGAAAAGAACCCCGGCGAGGGGAGUGAAAAAGAACCUGAAACCGUGUACGUACAAGCAGUGGGAGCACGCUUAGGCGUGUGACUGCGUACCUUUUGUAUAAUGGGUCAGCGACUUAUAUUCUGUAGCAAGGUUAACCGAAUAGGGGAGCCGAAGGGAAACCGAGUCUUAACUGGGCGUUAAGUUGCAGGGUAUAGACCCGAAACCCGGUGAUCUAGCCAUGGGCAGGUUGAAGGUUGGGUAACACUAACUGGAGGACCGAACCGACUAAUGUUGAAAAAUUAGCGGAUGACUUGUGGCUGGGGGUGAAAGGCCAAUCAAACCGGGAGAUAGCUGGUUCUCCCCGAAAGCUAUUUAGGUAGCGCCUCGUGAAUUCAUCUCCGGGGGUAGAGCACUGUUUCGGCAAGGGGGUCAUCCCGACUUACCAACCCGAUGCAAACUGCGAAUACCGGAGAAUGUUAUCACGGGAGACACACGGCGGGUGCUAACGUCCGUCGUGAAGAGGGAAACAACCCAGACCGCCAGCUAAGGUCCCAAAGUCAUGGUUAAGUGGGAAACGAUGUGGGAAGGCCCAGACAGCCAGGAUGUUGGCUUAGAAGCAGCCAUCAUUUAAAGAAAGCGUAAUAGCUCACUGGUCGAGUCGGCCUGCGCGGAAGAUGUAACGGGGCUAAACCAUGCACCGAAGCUGCGGCAGCGACGCUUAUGCGUUGUUGGGUAGGGGAGCGUUCUGUAAGCCUGCGAAGGUGUGCUGUGAGGCAUGCUGGAGGUAUCAGAAGUGCGAAUGCUGACAUAAGUAACGAUAAAGCGGGUGAAAAGCCCGCUCGCCGGAAGACCAAGGGUUCCUGUCCAACGUUAAUCGGGGCAGGGUGAGUCGACCCCUAAGGCGAGGCCGAAAGGCGUAGUCGAUGGGAAACAGGUUAAUAUUCCUGUACUUGGUGUUACUGCGAAGGGGGGACGGAGAAGGCUAUGUUGGCCGGGCGACGGUUGUCCCGGUUUAAGCGUGUAGGCUGGUUUUCCAGGCAAAUCCGGAAAAUCAAGGCUGAGGCGUGAUGACGAGGCACUACGGUGCUGAAGCAACAAAUGCCCUGCUUCCAGGAAAAGCCUCUAAGCAUCAGGUAACAUCAAAUCGUACCCCAAACCGACACAGGUGGUCAGGUAGAGAAUACCAAGGCGCUUGAGAGAACUCGGGUGAAGGAACUAGGCAAAAUGGUGCCGUAACUUCGGGAGAAGGCACGCUGAUAUGUAGGUGAAGUCCCUCGCGGAUGGAGCUGAAAUCAGUCGAAGAUACCAGCUGGCUGCAACUGUUUAUUAAAAACACAGCACUGUGCAAACACGAAAGUGGACGUAUACGGUGUGACGCCUGCCCGGUGCCGGAAGGUUAAUUGAUGGGGUUAG
rnacentral:rRNA from 1 species